rnacentral:rRNA from 1 species
CAGUAGCCACGGGAAUACAGAGGAUGCAAGCGUUAUCCGGAAUUAUUGGGCGUAAAGGGCUCGCAGGCGGUUUCUUAAGUCUGAUGUGAAAGCCCCCGGCUCAACCGGGGAGGGUCAUUGGAAACUGGGAAACUUGAGUGCGGAAGAGGAGAGUGGAAUUCCACGUGUAGCGGUGAAAUGCGUAGAGAUGUGGAGGAACACCAGUGGCGAAGGCGACUCUCUGGUCUGUAACUGACGCUGAGGAGCGAAAGCGUGUGGAGCGAACAGGAUUAGAUACCCCGGUAGUCCCUGUCUCUUAUAA